UACGUAGGGGGCAAGCGUUGUCCGGAUUUAUUGGGCGUAAAGAGCGUGUAGGCGGUUUGGUAGGUCCGUUGUGAAAACUCGAGGCUCAACCUCGAGACGCCGAUGGAAACCAUCAGACUAGAGUCCGGAAGAGGAGAGUGGAAUUCUCGGUGUAGCAGUGAAAUGCGUAGAUAUCGAGAGGAACACCAGUGGCGAAGGCGAGUCCCUGGACACUUCCUGACACUGAGGCACGAAAGCUAGGGGAGCAAACAGG
rnacentral:rRNA from 1 species